UGCACACGCAAAACGCACAAGUUGUAACAAACCUGCAGCAGAUUUGUAGCAGUGCUGUUUCAACAAUUUGUCAACAGGAUGUGUUCACACUGCUUGUUCCCAGCUUGUUGACAAGUUGGCAACGGCUUGUUGACAAGUUGCUACAACGUUGUUGAGCUCACUAGACUUGUUACAAGUUGUUCCAACAACUUGUUAUCGUCCUGCAGUUCAACAAUUUGUUGACAAGUUGUGAGCGACAACCUUGUAGCAACUUGAUAAAAUAACAGCAUUGUUACAACUUGUUGACAAGCUUGCUACAAGCCUGUUGCGAACACUUCUUGUUGACAACUGGUGAGAUUUUACGCCGUGUGUAGUCCAAAACAAGUAUCGUAGAAGAUCCACCCAUGUUAUAAUUUCACCAAAUUGUAUUUUUCCUAUUCACAAAUAAUCGAUCCUGAAUUAUUACAAUAAUAGAAAACAUUUUCAGUAUUCGAAACAUUGUUAUUUCACGUCUUAUGUGAUGUGUAUGGCCGACUAGAAAAUUUCAAAUAUCCACUAUUUCACAUUUAAUAGAAUUUACUGUUUAUCGCACUUUCCCCCCAAUUGUCUCGUUUCCAUGUUGGCCUGUUUUAGCAUGGCAGGCGCAACAUUGAAGACGAGUAAUAAACAGUAUUGAAGCACAGCUAUAUAGCCUAUAUUACACAUCACAAGUUUCUGUGAUCACAGUAGAAAUUUUGCAUAGGUAAAAUUUUGAAGGAUUUGUAAGGGAACUGACACACUGUAAAACACCAAGUCAGUUCCAUCAAACAUUUCUUACAAAUCCUUCAAAACUUAGAAUUUACCCAUGCAAAAUUCCUACUGUGAUCACAGAGACUUUGAUAAUGUCAACCAGGCUUAAACCGAGGCAAGAGUGCAAUAAACAGCGCUGUGCAUUCGAGCAGAGCUAUUGCCGUAAGAAUUCCACUGUGACCUUUAAGCCUUGGGCAAACUAGGAAACAUUGUUGUGGAAACAUUUGUGAUUCUCGAUGUUUCCUCAAAUGUUUCCAUGUUUGCCCACCCGUGGAAACAUUGUUGCGGAAACAAAAUUUGCUUCCCGAGAAGCAAAAAUGUUUGCUAGCGAAUUCAGAAACAUUUGAUGUUUCCCUAUGUUUCUCACUAAUGUUUCCUAGUGUUUGCCCACUCUGGGAAACAUGACGAAACAUUGAUAGGAAACAAUGUUUCCUAGUUUGCCCAGGGCUUUAGGUUACUGAACUGGACGAACUUCUUAUGCGCCGACUUCGUUGCAUUGUUCAAUUUGUUCAAUCACGAGUACUAAUACCAUGAGUUAUUUAAAAACAAAGCUGUAUGUAUUACGGAAGUUAUAAAAAGAUGUCCCUAAUAUAGAUAUUAAAUAAAAGCAACAUUUCAGAAAAGCCUAUCAUGAUAAAUUUCUCUAGUGUUCUGCCACUAAGUCUUCACUUGGUCAUCCAACUCCUCCAGAAUAGGUCGGGCCCAGGUGGCAACAUCAACGACCUCCGUUUCGUAUUGUUUUAUAAAUGGAUGAGCCUAAAUAUUACCAAAAUUUUAAAAACUCAUUAAUAAUUCAUGAAGAAAAGACAAAGGAAAUCACGACCGUGUCAGUGGUUUUAUAAAAUUAUGUUCAUUUACAUAAACUUUAGUUUGAUUUUCUUGACUUAGACAACGUUGAUUUUUAAAAUUACUUCGCCAAUGAACUCAUAAGAUGGUUUGUUUUUUAAGCCAUUUAAAACACUCGCA
rnacentral:lncRNA from 1 species